GGAAUAUUGCGCAAUGGGCGAAAGCCUGACGCAGCGACGCCGCGUGGGGGAUGAAGGUCUUCGGAUUGUAAACCCCUUUCGGGAGGGAAGAUGGGAUGGGGUAACCCAUUCGGACGGUACCUCCAGAAGCAGCCACGGCUAACGUCGUGCCCGCAGCCGCGGUAAUACGAAGGUGGCAAGCGUUGUUCGGAUUUACUGGGCGUACAGGGAGCGUAGGCGGUUGGGUAAGCCCUCCGUGAAAUCUCCAGGCUUAACCUGGAAGGUGCAGAGGGGACUGCUCAGCUAGAGGAUGGGAGAGGAGCGCGGAAUUCCCGGUGUAGCGGUGAAAUGCGUAGAUAUCGGGAGGAACAUCAGUGGCGAAGGCGACUUUCUGGCCCAAUACUGACACUCAUGUGCGAAAGCGUGGGGAGCAAAC
rnacentral:rRNA from 1 species